AAAUGAAUUGACGGGACCCGCACAAGCGGUGGAGGAUUGUGGUUUAAUUCGACGCAACGCGAAGAACCUUACCUAGGCUUGACAUGCUGGUGAAAACCAUGGAAACAUGGUCCUCCCGUAAGGGACAUCAGUACAGGUGGUGCAUGGCUGUCGUCAGCUCGUGUCGUGAGAUGUUGGGUUAAGUCCCGCAACGAGCGCAACCCUUUAUCCCUAGUUGCCAUCAGGUAAAGCUGGGAACUCUGGGGAGACUGCCGGUGAUAAACCGGAGGAAGGCGGGGAUGACGUCAAGUCCUCAUGGCCCUUACAUCCCGGGCUACACACGUGCUACAAUGGCAGGUACAGAGGGCUGCGAAGCCGCGAGGUGGAGCGAAUCCCAGAAAACCUGUCUCAGUCCGGAUUGAAGUCUGCAACUCGACUUCAUGAAGGCGGAAUCGCUAGUAACCGCGAAUCAGCAGGUCGCGGUGAAUACGUUCCCGGGCCUU
rnacentral:rRNA from 1 species